rnacentral:rRNA from 2 species
CAUGUCUAAGUAUAAGCAAUUAUACCGCGAAACUGCGAAUGGCUCAUUAAAUCAGUUAUCGUUUAUUUGAUAGUACCUUACUACUUGGAUAACCGUGGUAAUUCUAGAGCUAAUACAUGCUAAAAAUCCCGACUUACGGAGGGAUGUAUUUAUUAGAUUAAAAACCAAUGCCCUUCGGGGCUCCUUGGUGAUUCAUAAUAACUUCUCGAAUCGCAUGGCCUUGUGCCGGCGAUGGUUCAUUCAAAUUUCUGCCCUAUCAACUUUCGAUGGCAGGGUCUUGGCCUGCCAUGGUUACAACGGGUAACGGAGGGUUAGGGCUCGACCCCGGAGAAGGAGCCUGAGAAACGGCUACUACAUCCAAGGAAGGCAGCAGGCGCGCAAAUUACCCAAUCCCGACACGGGGAGGUAGUGACAAUAAAUACUGAUACAGGGCUCUUUUGGGUCUUGUAAUUGGAAUGAGUACAAUUUAAAUCCCUUAACGAGGAACAAUUNNNNNNNNNNNNNNNNNNNNNNNNNNNNNNNNNNAAUUCCAGCUCCAAUAGCGUAUAUUAAAGUUGUUGCAGUUAAAAAGCUCGUAGUUGAACCUUGGGCCUGGCUGGCCGGUCCGCCUCACCGCGUGCACUGGUUCGGCCGGGCCUUUCCCUCUGGGGAGCCCCAUGCCCUUCACUGGGUGUGGUGGGGAACCAGGACUUUUACUGUGAAAAAAUUAGAGUGUUCAAAGCAGGCCUAUGCUCGAAUACAUCAGCAUGGAAUAAUAGAAUAGGACGUGUGGUUCUAUUUUGUUGGUUUCUAGGACCGCCGUAAUGAUUAAUAGGGACAGUCGGGGGCAUCAGUAUUCAAUUGUCAGAGGUGAAAUUCUUGGAUUUAUUGAAGACUAACUACUGCGAAAGCAUUUGCCAAGGAUGUUUUCAUUAAUCAGGAACGAAAGUUAGGGGAUCGAAGACGAUCAGAUACCGUCGUAGUCUUAACCAUAAACUAUGCCGACUAGGGAUCGGACGAUGUUAUUUUUUGACUUGUUCGGCACCUUA